GUGCUUGCUUCGGCAGCACAUAUACUAAAAUCGGAAUGAUACAGGGAAGAUGAUCGUGGCCCCUGAGCAAGGAUGACACACAAAUUCGUGAAGCAUUCCCUAUUUUU
ensembl:snRNA U6 U6 spliceosomal RNA